UACGAAGGGGGCGAGCGUUGUUCGGAAUUACUGGGCGUAAAGGGCGCGUAGGCGGUGUGUCAAGUCAGGCGUGAAAGCCCCGGGCUCAACCUGGGAACGGCGCUUGAGACUGGCACGCUCGAGUUCGGGAGAGGAUGGUGGAAUUCCCAGUGUAGAGGUGAAAUUCGUAGAUAUUGGGAAGAACACCGAUGGCGAAGGCAGCCAUCUGGACCGACACUGACGCUGAGGCGCGAAAGCGUGGGGAGCAAGCAGG
rnacentral:rRNA from 1 species